ACAAGGUGGAUAAAGUCACAGGAAACCAACAAAUCCCCCAUUUCUGAACUUCUUCCAUGAAUAGUCAAGUCAAUAUUUUCAAAUUCACAGAAUGAAACUCUAUUACAAAACAGUCUUGACUUUUGGUUAGAGUUUAACUUUUGGCGAGCUAGAAGCGACAACCGUGACAUUGUGCAGUAAUUGUUAAAUGUCAAAGAAUGGCAUAAAAAUUUAAUUCUCUAUUUCCUCUCACAAGUCAUUCUGGAUUAAAACUGUUCAACUACUCAAAACAGUCCAACAAUGUUAUCAUCUGCUCACCAUGCAUCAAUUCAACUUUAUCCAGUAGGCCACACUUCUUGGAGAACAUCUGAGCUAACUAACCACACAAUCCUAAAACAACCUUAUUCUCACUUGACCUAAACAGAAACAUUUGCUUUUUUUUCAAGUUUGUAUCCUUUAUUAGCAUUGAAAGAAACAGCUUCUCUAGAUCCUCUGGGAGGCCAGAUGUCUCUUAAGGACAUGGUGGCCCACAGCAGAUCUUGACUUAUUGUUGUUCUCUCACAAAGGUGAAAGGACGAAGAAAAGCUGUGGCAGCAGUUGCAUCAAAUUCCACAAGACAACAGAUGCUCUGUAAGGCCCCCACAUCAACUUUAGAAAGUCAGGCAUAGAGUUAAAGUUGUAGAGGCUUAUCUGCAUCAUUUAUUUGAUAAAAGUAAUGAAGUGUAUGUUAUGCAAUCAUAGAUUUGACAUUAUUUUGCUGCAUUUUUUUUAUUUUUAUUAACACCUAGUGAAAAGUGUGUUGAAAUUACAUUCGUCUUGGUGUGUUUUCCUUGUGCAUGAGGAUCACAGAUCAACUUACAUUCAGAUUUGAGAGUGCAGUACUCCACUGGAAAGAAUGGGCCACUGCACUGCAGUGAUGACGAGGUCUAUGCUAAUCCAGCUGGAUAUAUGAAGGCACAGGUUGGCCAGGCGGAGGAGAGCGGCGGAAAGAUGGAGGUGAUGGCAGGGGCGACUCCUCCAGAAUCUCAAGCAGCUUCCUCUUCCCCCUCCCACUCUUUUUGGAAACGGCCAAGUUUGUAAAUGUACCUUGUUUUCUGUGGCAGCAGAACAGAGGCGAACGAACGUCUCCCCUGGGUGCUAUUUUAGCUCAUGUUCAUUUCGCUGUCUUUUCCCUCCGCUCACUGUUGUCGAGUCUGAUGCAUUAACUUGCAAUCUUCUGAAAGCGAGGCUGAAAAAAUGACUGUUUUGACACAAUCUUAAUAGUCAUUUUCACGCAAGAUUACAUUCUCUGCGUAUCGUGAGUCGCUGUGUCAAAAGAGCAGACUAUAAAAUAGGAAAACUAAUAAAUUGGUGUGCGAUUCAGCAAUUUCUAAUUCACUUUUGCUCAUCUAGACCCAAAAACAAUUAUAUUCUAAUUACGGUUUUGUAAAGUACAUUUUUCCCAAUGAUUAUAUAGAGCCAGGAC
rnacentral:lncRNA from 1 species